rnacentral:lncRNA from 1 species
GAACCUUUGAUCCCUUUGAUAUAUGUAAAAAGUCAAAGGCUACAAUCAGUGAAGAACAUUUGAGAAGGGGCAGGGGCCAUCCACAUAAGUGCCACAGGAGGAAUCUCCAAUAUGCAGGGACAAGAUAAACACCCGUUCUUCAUCAGGCCCUGGAACACCCUCUGGCUAUAUCCUCAGGCUGCAUACUAUUUUUUGACUUCUGGUGCGGCUCAGCUCUUGGCUGUCCUAAUGCUCCUAAGGCUGAAAAUGUGACCCACUAG